UAUAUAGCCAAUGAGUAGGACUUAGGGAUUACUAUCAGCAACUAGUAGCCAAGGUCCAUUGAGAACCCCAUUCCUUCUUGUGACCCUUUAACCAUACAUCUUUCUCCAUACAGGAGGCAUGCCCUUUCUGUGCCUGCAGAUUAUAUUUGGCCAUCUCAAAAGUACCAGCUUUGCUGUUUUGCCUGUGGCACACACUGAAUUGUCUAAGCCUGAAGACUGGAAAGAGGAAGGGCAGAGCAGAGUUAGCACCAGAACUGGGAAAAGCAGCCAAGCCCUGUCUCACAUGAAAAGGAUGAUCAGGACAGCUCAGCUGCUGCCUAAUGGACUCUCUGCAUAAGAGAUUAUUGACGAAGAACAGGUGAAAUGUCUCUUUACAGUAACACAUGCCUUGCUUUCCCGGUGGACAGCCAGAGAGCUAAUUAGGGAACACGACAGCUGUCCAGCCUUUCAGUGGAGGAUCAACAAUGUACCACCUCCUGAGUGCCAAAGGACCGGGAUGGAAGUAGGAGAAAAAGAGGGAGUGGAGUUAAGGGGCCAUAAUCCAAGGGGCUGAUUUAUUUCCCAAAGGGGACAUUUGGGUUUGUCAUGUUUUGCAGAAUGGAGGAAGGGGAAGAGAAAGGGGAGGUGUGGAUUGAUGAGAGUGCAGGAUGACAAAGCAAGGAAGUUGGGAGACUAAAGGCAGGAAAAAGGAGGAGAGGUAUUGAGGAGUUAGUGUCAUCUUGGUUCUCAGACUAAAAAGCAUAUGGUAGAAUGGAAGAGCCAGGUGUCUGAAGAAUGGGGGGAUGAGCAGUCAGCCAGGAAGGAGAAUGAUGAGGCAGAGUAGAGAGUCUGCUUCUCAUUCCCUGCAGACCUUCCCUCCUCCAGCUAAGAUCUCAUAGGGCCCAACAUUAUACAUUUGUAUUUCCUCUUAUCAUGCCACCAGAAGGGACCAACAGGAACAGAGACACUGUGCCCCUAGUGAAAAAUGUAUUUUUAGCUGGACCUGUCCAAUCUUAGCUUUUGUUAGUUAUAAAAUACAUGCAGCACUUUUUUUUUGUAAUACAGAACUGAAAACAACAUAGUAUUCCAUCAAUUAGGGAAUAGCUGAAUAAAUUGUGGCAUGUGAAUGUAAUGGAAUAUUAU
rnacentral:lncRNA from 1 species